ensembl:snRNA U6 U6 spliceosomal RNA
GCUUGCUUCCGGCGGCACAUAUUAAUAUUGGAAUGAUACAGUGAAGAUUAGCAUGGCCCCUGCACAAGGAUGAUAUGCAAAUUCUGAAGUGUUUCAUAUUAAA